GGCUCAGGAUGAACGCUAGCUACAGGCUUAACACAUGCAAGUCGAGGGCAGCAUGGAGUUGCUGCAACUCGAUGGCGACCGGCGCACGGGUGAGUAACGCGUAUCCAACCUGGCCCUUAGUAGGGAACAGCCCGGCGAAAGUCGGAUUAAUGCCCUAUGUUUUCCAAUGAUGGCAUCUGACUUGGAACAAAGAUUCAUCGCUAAGGGAUGGGGAUGCGUCUGAUUAGCUUGUCGGCGGGGUAACGGCCCACCGAGGCGACGAUCAGUAGGGGUUCUGAGAGGAAGGUCCCCCACAUUGGUACUGAGACACGGACCAAACUCCUACGGGAGGCAGCAGUGAGGAAUAUUGGUCAAUGGGCGCGAGCCUGAACCAGCCAAGUAGCGUGCAAGGAAGACUGCCCUAUGGGUUGUAAACUGCUUUUAUGCGGGAAUAAAGUCAGGUACGCGUACCUGUUUGUAUGUACCGCAUGAAUAAGGACCGGCUAAUUCCGUGCCAGCAGCAGC
rnacentral:rRNA from 1 species